rnacentral:rRNA from 1 species
GAUGAACGCUGGCGGCGUGCUUAACACAUGCAAGUCGAACGGUGAAGGCGGAGCUUGCUCUGCUGGAUCAGUGGCGAACGGGUGAGUAACACGUGAGCAAUCUGCCCCUGACUCUGGGAUAAGCCUGGAAAAGGGGUCUAAUACCGGAAACGGACUUCCGAAGCAUCUUUAACAAGUGGAAAGAAUUUCGGUCAGGGAUGAGCUCGCGGCCUAUCAGCUUGUUGGUGAGGUAAUGGCUCACCAAGGCGUCGACGGGUAGCCGGCCUGAGAGGGUGACCGGCCACACUGGGACUGAGACACGGCCCAGACUCCUACGGGAGGCAGCAGUGGGGAAUAUUGCACAAUGGGCGAAAGCCUGAUGCAGCAACGCCGCGUGAGGGACGACGGCCUUCGGGCUGUAAACCUCUUUUAGCAGGGAAGAAGCGAAAGUGACGGUACCUGCAGAAAAAGCGCCGGCUAACUACGUG